AGCGUGGGGAGCAAACAGGAUUAGAUACCCUGGUAGUCCACGCUGUAAACGAUGUCGACUUGGAGGUUGUGCCCUUGAGGUGUGGCUUCCGGAGCUAACGCGUUAAGUCGACCGCCUGGGGAGUACGACCGCAAGGUUAAAACUCAAAUGAAUUGACGGGGGCCCGCACAAGCGGUGGAGCAUGUGGUUUAAUUCGAUGCAACGCGAAGAACCUUACCUGGUCUUGACAUCCACGGAAGUUUUCAGAGAUGAGAA
rnacentral:rRNA from 1 species